rnacentral:rRNA from 1 species
GACGAACGCUGGCGGCGUGCUUAACACAUGCAAGUCGAACGAGAUCCAAUGUGUAGCAAUACACAGGAAGAUCUAGUGGCGAACGGGUGAGGAACACGUGAGAAACGUACCCCAGACUUUGGGAUAACAGUCCGAAAGGACUGCUAAUACCAAAUAACGUCGGAAGUCCGCAUGGACAUCUGACGAAAGGGAUUCCGGUUUGGGAGCGUCUCGCGGACCUAUCAGCUAGUUGGAGGGGUAACGGCCCUCCAAGGCAACGACGGGUAGCUGGUCUGAGAGGAUGGUCAGCCACACUGGGACUGAGACACGGCCCAGACUCCUACGGGAGGCAGCAGUGGGGAAUCUUGCGCAAUGGGCGAAAGCCUGACGCAGCAACGCCGCGUGCGGGAAGAAGGCUUUCGGGCUGUAAACCGCUUUCAGUAGGAACGAAACUGACGGUACCUACAGAAGAAGGAGCGGCCAACUAUGUG